rnacentral:rRNA from 1 species
UACAGAGGGUGCGAGCGUUGUUCGGAAUUAUUGGGCGUAAAGGGCGCGUAGGCGGUGCGGUAAGUCACCUGUGAAAUCUCCUGGCUCAACUGGGAGCUUGCAGGCGAAACUGCCGUGCUGGAGUGCGGAAGGGGCAACUGGAAUUCUCGGUGUAGCGGUGAAAUGCGUAGAUAUCGAGAGGAACACCUGCGGCGAAGGCGGGUUGCUGGGCCGACACUGACGCUGAGGAGCGAAAGCGUGGGGAGCGAACAGG